CUAUCUAUUGAUAGUUUUUCUUACCGUGUUUCGCUACGGUAUAGCAAGUUCUCGGUUCGUACAGUUCUCGCGUUGUUCUCGCGAUAUCCAGGCAAUUCUAUGAAUUCCUGUGAGUGUUCCAAAAGUGUAGUGUUGUGCUUUAAUGCAGUGACCAUGUGAGUGUCCUUUGGAUACAGUUCUCGGCCUCCACGGAUUAGCUGCACCAGCUCCGCUGCAGCAAAACGGUCCAGAAUAUCUAGUAAAGAAGAGAAGAUCUGUUUUUGAAUUAGCAACAAUUUGAAUAUCGAUCAAGAAAAAAAAUGGAAGGCCUAUUCAGACAAAUUUCAAUCUUAAGGAGUAUUUGAAAGGGGCCAAACAUAAAGCUCAAAAUAUGGCAGCACCGUGAAUGAGAAACUUUAUGAAAUGGGAAAAAUGGCAAAAUCUUCUUGAUCGAGAAUAACUUAAUAGAUCAUGCUGAUGGUCGUGGCGCCUGGCAGUAUAUGAUUAACCGAAAGAACUGUGGUCAACGGACAAAGAUGUUAUUAAACAAUCACUUUGUAAAGUACAUACUUCCCUACAUCGAAGAACUUCACUUGCCUACAAAGAUAGAAAAAACAUUUCUUAAGUCUCCGAAAUUCCAAAGAAUAUUAGUUAUAAAUCUUAUGCAUUUUAUUCAAAUAACAUUUCUUUAUUUUUGAAUGUCAUGUAUUACGUUAUGUAAUUAUACUGAAUAACUACAUUUUUUUUUACUUAUUCUGCCGUAAAAAAGUUCAGACGCGAAUUAAGUUAUUGGAUAUGAAUUUAUCUUUUUUAAAAAAGAUUAAAAAAUGAUCUUAACAAUAAUGAAGAUUAAUAAGAGUGAUGCUGCUCGAUUCAGCUGUCAAUUCUCAGUAAGUUUCUACAUGUCCUUUGGUAAAAGUUCAAAGUGGUAGCGUAUACAACAUACAGCACGUAUAUUACAUUGCAGUGAUUAUGUAAUAUAUCUCUAAUGGUAUAGUCAUUGCUAAUCUUUUGUAAACCAUAUAUGUAUGUAUAUCUGUACCUCGUAU